UACAGAGGGUGCGAGCGUUAAUCGGAAUUACUGGGCGUAAAGCGCGCGCAGGCGGACUGAUCAGUCUGGGGUGAAAUCUCACGGCUCAACUGUGAGCGGUCCCUGGAUACUGUCAGCCUUGAGAUGUCUAGAGGAGAGCGGAAUUCCCGGUGUAGUGGUGGAAUGCGUAGAUAUCGGGAAGAACACCAGUGGCGAAAGCGGCUCUCUGGGGACCAUCUGACGCUGAGGCGCGAAAGCGUGGGGAGCGAACCGG
rnacentral:rRNA from 1 species